rnacentral:rRNA from 1 species
GACGUAGGGCGCGAGCGUUGUCCGGAUUUAUUGGGCGUAAAGAGCUCGUAGGCGGCUUGUCGCGUCGACUGUGAAAACCCGUGGCUCAACCAUGUGGUCUGCAGUCGAUACGGGCAGGCUAGAAUUCGGUAGGGGAGACUGGAAUUCCCGGUGUAGCGGUGAAAUGCGCAGAUAUCGGGAGGAACACCGGUGGCGAAGGCGGUUCUCUGGGCCUGACCUGACGCUGAGGAGCGAAAGCGUGGGGAGCAAACAGG